rnacentral:lncRNA from 1 species
GCCUAUAAUUUUUCCUAUCCAGGGAUUGUGAAACCUAGGAAAUGCCCAACAGUAAAAGGAAUAAUGCGAGUCAUUUCUCAGUUCCCUAAAUCAGCAAUGAUCAGGGUUGCAAUAGAAGGCCUUUAUUAAGAGCUGGGGUGAAAGAAGAUUUAGGAACCUCUUCAGAGAAAUAAACCUUGAGAGAGAAAUAGAAUCUUCUAGAAGAGAAGAGGAACGAAUAGCAUCCUUGGCCCAGACAGUCCUGGAAAACAAUAACCUGAACAUUGCUGUGCGUGGUGGCUCCUGUCUGUAAUCCCAGCUACUUGGGAUGCUGAGAGGGAGGAUGGCUUAAGUCCAGGAUUUUGAGUACAGCCGGAGCAACAUAGUGAAUGCCUGUCUCUAAAAUAAUAAUAAUAAUGAUAAUAAUAAUAAUAAUAAUAAUA